AUCUCUCCUUCAGUUUGCCUGGGUUUGGCAAGGCGGAGCCCUGGAGUAAAACCUGGGGUCGGGGUUGUGAGACGCGGCCCUUGCGGUCGGGCGCCAGAGUUGUGGGGAGGACGGACUGAGGGCCAAAGCAUGUCCUCCCUCCCUGGGUGCAUGAGUUUGGCUGCAGCGCCAGCUGCAGCUGACUCUGCAGAGAUUGCUGAGCUGCAGCAGGCGGUGGUUGAAGAGCUGGGUAUCUCUAUGGAGGAACUUCGUCAGUACAUUGAUGAGGAACUGGAAAAGAUGGACUGUAUACAGCAGCGCAAGAAGCAGCUCGCAGAGCUGGAGACGUGGGUACUACAGAAAGAGUCUGAAGUGGCUUAUGUUGAUCGGCUGUUUGAUGAUGCAUCCAGGGAAGUGACUAACUGUGAGUCUUUGGUGAAGGAUUUCUACUCUAAGCUGGGACUACAGUAUCAUGACAGUAGCUCUGAGGAUGAAGCUUCCCGGCCCACAGAGAUCAUUGAGAUUCCUGAUGAAGAUGAUGAUGUCCUCAGUAUUGAUUCAGUUUGCCUAUGUCUGAGUUUCUUUUUCAGUUAUGGUGAUCAAAUAAUCUGACAAAAUCAUUUGAAGGUUAAGGGGGCUGAUCCUGGUUCCAAGUUCCAGAUCAUAUCCAUGAUGGUCGGGGAAAUCACAGUGGCAAAAGCCUAAAGCAUCUGGUCACAUUGUUCUGCAAUCUGGAAACAGAGGGAGUGUCUCAUCCUGCUGCUCCUCCAAUCACUCUCUUUAUUUGUGUAUUUAUGAAGUCUAUGGAAUGGUACCACUCACAGUGGGCUGGUCCAUGAACACCAUGAAACAUUUAGUAAAUACUUCCCUUGGUAACUUUUUUUUUUGUUUGUUUUGCAUUGUGGUUCUGAUGUGUGCUAUGUAUGUAGUACAUGAAGCAGUAAACUCUAAGCAUCAAGUUACAACAACA
rnacentral:lncRNA from 1 species